AGUGAACGCUGGCGGUAGGCCUAACACAUGCAAGUCGAACGGCAGCACAGUAAGAGCUUGCUCUUACGGGUGGCGAGUGGCGGACGGGUGAGGAAUACAUCGGAAUCUACUUUUUCGUGGGGGAUAACGUAGGGAAACUUACGCUAAUACCGCAUACGACCUACGGGUGAAAGCAGGGGAUCUUCGGACCUUGCGCGAUUGAAUGAGCCGAUGUCGGAUUAGCUAGUUGGCGGGGUAAAGGCCCACCAAGGCGACGAUCCGUAGCUGGUCUGAGAGGAUGAUCAGCCACAUUGGAACUGGGACACGGUCCAGGGUCCUACGGGAGGCAGCAGUGGGGAAUGUUGGACAAUGGGCGCAAGUAUGAUCCAGCCAUACCGCGUGGGUGAAGAAGGCCUUCGGGUUGUAAAGCCCUUUUGUGGGGAAAGAAAAGCAGCAGGUUAAUACCCCGCUGUUCUGACGGUACCCAAAGAAUAAGCACCGGCUAACUUCGUG
rnacentral:rRNA from 1 species